AUACGGAGGGUGCAAGCGUUAAUCGGAAUUACUGGGCGUAAAGCGCGCGUAGGCGGAUAUUUAAGUCUCAUGUGAAAGCCCUGGGCUCAACCUGGGAACUGCAUGGGAUACUGGGUAUCUAGAAUACAGUAGAGGGUAGUGGAAUUUCAGGUGUAGCGGUGAAAUGCGUAGAGAUCUGAAGGAACAUCAGUGGCGAAGGCGACUACCUGGACUGAUAUUGACGCUGAGGUGCGAAAGCGUGGGGAGCAAACGGAAUUAGAUACCCUAGUAGUCC
rnacentral:rRNA from 1 species